rnacentral:SRP_RNA from 1 species
GGGUGGGCUAGGCCGGGCUGCUGGGCGUAGCCUGUAACCGCAAAUCGUCCUCAUGGCGGGGCCGAAGCCUUGAGGGCGGCCUCCUGGGGAGGGAGGACCCAUCCCUGGAGCUGCGAAGCCUCGUCCCAUGGGGCGUCAUGGGGCGUGAACCCGUCAGGUCCGGAAGGAAGCAGCGGUAAGCGCUUCAUGGCGUGCUCAUGGGGGUGCGGGGUGGAGCGAAGGGGGUGGACAAUCUUCCCUUUCCAGGAGUUCCACCUCGAGGCGCGCCCACCC